rnacentral:rRNA from 1 species
CGGAAAACUGGGGAUAAUACCCUAUAGACUAUGGAUGCUGGAAUGCUUCGUAGUUGAAAGGUCCGCCGCUGUAGGAUGGGUCUGCGGCCGAUUAGGUUGUUGUUGGGGUAACGGCCCAACAAGCCUGUAAUCGGUACGGGUUGUGGGAGCAAGAGCCCGGAGAUGGAUUCUGAGGCACGAAUCCAGGCCCUACGGGGCGCAGCCAGGCGGAAAACCUUUACAUGGCGGGAACCCGUGAUAAGGGACCUCUGAGUGCCCGUAAAAUCGGGCUGUCCAUCAGUUUAAAUAACUGGUGAAGAAAGGGCCGGGCAAGACCGGUGCCAGCCGCCGCGGUAACA